UUGAAUUACCCUAUAGCCACACCAACUAAUGUACACAGGAUUACCAGAAACGUCCGAUCAACCCACCUAAAUCACAUCUAACAAUCCAAAUUACAUCAAGGGGUCGGCCGUAUAAACCAACGCGCCAGAUUGAAUGUUCUGCCGGCAGACUACGUCCUGUCCGGCUGCCCCACGACCAAACCUCGACCACCUCCACUGAAUCUCCACUAAUUGCGCCACUGCCACACCGAGAUUUCCUCUCUCUCCCUCCCGGUUUCCCCUCUGGUCUCUCUCUCUCUCUCUUCCCCGAACGCGCAACAGCGCUAGGGAUUCGCCCUCCCACUAAAUCGAGAUUCAGAUCAUGGAGGGCGGCGUAGGAACUGUCGAAUCCUGCCACCCCCAGAAUCCUUCUUCCUCUCCUUCCCUUCUUUAUGCCCAACACAUGUACACCCACCUGUAGCAGCUCCUCUAUUCUUCGCAUGUUCAAUUGCUCCUCUACUCUUUCCCUCUGUGUGUGCUUUUCUUUGUAUCUCUACUCAGGACAACGGCGACUAGGCGGACCGGCGACUGGCGGGGCGACGGAAAAGGGUGGGCGACGCCGUGACAAGAUGUGGGCAUGAGGCGGAGAAACCGAGCGGACAAGCAACCGGCGCACCUACAGGUACAUCCAUACAGGUGAAUCGAUCGAUAUUUCUUUUUUUUAACAGGCACACGUACAUGGAAAAGGGAUCGAUUAAUCGAUCGAACCGAUAGCUGCUAGGCAGGCGUGGAUGCACGGUGUGCUGGCCGGUGUCCAGAUCCAGAUCUUACAGGUGCCCAGCCCAAAAAGCUGGACUAUGUAUAAGCACAAAAUUUACCUGCUCAAGCUUCCUUCUGUAACUCCUACAUUGGUGUUUAAAGACUUGGCGGUAAACCGAGUGGUGGUCUUACUAUCUUAAUACUCAACUGCCUACUAUGAGAAUUGUAUUUCUGUUUUUAUGAUAACUAUGGAGCUAUGACUAAAAAUCCUAUGGAGUUAUGAUCCAAAAAAGAACUGUGGAGUUGUGUGCAAAGAAAGAGAAGGACAUAAUGUUUCUCAAUUUUCCCUUUGUAUCAGUAUAUGUUUCACAUUAUAUCAUAGGCACAAUUAGUUGAGCUCUCAAGCAGAACUUUUCCAGUAUGACUACACUUACAAUGCCUUGUGAGAAUUUUGUAGAAGGAAAUAUUUCGCCCAUGAAAACCUGAGACUAACUAGCCACGGUGUCUACAUUUUAUCA